rnacentral:lncRNA from 1 species
ACAGGUGGUUCAAAUCAAAUGGAAGUGAGGGAAAAAUCAUGUAUGAGAGGGAGGCUCAUACCACAUGGAAGGGGGGCCGUCCGGAGCUCAAAAGGCAACAGAGGCAGAGAUAGAAUGCCAACCAUGUGACCAGCUGCCGAGAGCUUUGCACUUUGCCCUCCAUCCCUCCCUUUUUAUUUCCUUUUCUUCUUCUGUAUCACAUG